rnacentral:rRNA from 1 species
GACGAACGCUGGCGGCGUGCUUAACACAUGCAAGUCGAACGGAAAGGCCUCUUUCGGGGGGUACUCGAGUGGCGAACGGGUGAGUAACACGUGAGUAACCUGCCCUCGACUUUGGGAUAACUUCAUGAAACUGGGGCUAAUACCGGAUAGGAGCUCCUGCUGCAUGGUGGGGGUUGGAAAGUUUCGGCGGUUUGGGGUGGACUCUCGGCUUAUCAGCUUGUUGGUGGGGUAGUGGCUUACCAAGGCUUUGACGGGUAGCCGGCCUGAGAGGGUGACCGGCCACAUUGGGACUGAGAUACGGCCCAGACUCCUACGGGAGGCAGAAGUGGGGAAUAUUGCACAAUGGGUGGAAGGCUGAUGCAGCAACGCCGUGUGCGGGAUGACGGCCUUCGGGUUGUAAAACGCUUUCGCUCAUGACGAAGCUUUGUGUGACGGUAGUGGGUAAAGAAGCACCGGCUAACUACGUG